GCGGGAGUGCCGGAGCGGUCAAACGGGAUGCGUUAAGGCCGCAUUGGGUUAGUCCCUACGCAGGUUCGAAUCCUGUCUCCCGCA
rnacentral:tRNA from 1 species